rnacentral:lncRNA from 1 species
AUGGAAAAACAGCACUUCAGGGUUCUCUGGUGCAGCUUCUGCACAGCUGGACAGGACCAGUCCCUCAGAGAAUUACUGCCAGAGCUGACCUUUACUUUCACCCGAAGACACGAAUCAGCCAGGGAUCGGCGUGUGGGAGUGAAGCCAGGUCCUGUGGGGACAACGGGGUCCCGAGCACCCCCGGCCACGGCACAGCGGCUGGAGCAGGACACCGCAGGUCAGAGCUGGGAUUUCUGCAUGCUGCACACGCAUGACUGCAGCGCUUGUUCAGUGCUCGGAAGAGCAAAACGUGCGGUGAAGCAGCAUGAUGCAGGGACAGCGAGCGCCUCGGCGGCUGUGACGCUGCCGGCCUUCAGCCUGGCUUUAUCCGAAUCCCAGAGACAUUAA